UGUAUGAUCCUUAUUCUCAAUUUUUCUAUUUGUAGGAAUCCCCUUUAUCAAUGUUUAAUAGAAUAGACUGAACUGUCUGCAGUGUUUACAAUUUCACUUUAGACUGUUGGGUGACUGACCGCAAAUUUAAGACUUAACUGUACUAAGUAAAGAAAAAUCAAUAUUUUUUUUGCUUCAAAUAUAUAAUUAUAGCCAAAGACAUUAGCCAUAAUAAGUCAUAGCCUUUUAACCUAAUUCUGAAGGGCAUAAUACACUGCACUUUAAUACUAAUGCAGUAUGUUAUAUGAGUGAUCUAAAGAUCGCUAUUAAAAGUCCCCUUUAUAAAACACUUAAAGGCUAGGUUCACACUAAGGAAUUUCCAGCCGGAAUAAUUAAUGCCGGAGGUUCCACGGGUGCAUUGCCCUCCCCAUAGAUGGCAAUGUAUUCUGUAUGGAUCCUAGCUAAAAAAUAAGUUAAAAAUAGAUACUGUCAUACUACUGCAGUCUAUUAAUAUAUGAGCUAUCGAAAGAUGGCUGCUUUAUGUACCUUAAUGGGAAUAGUUCAAAACUAAAAGAAGAAAAACAAGGCUAAUAAAAUAUAAAAAAAAAAACUUUAGCUCCGCCUUAAGAAAAACAUCCCUUAAAAAAAUUGUAUCAAAUAUAAAAUGAAAUUAAAAAAUAAAUAUAUGAAAAAUCCCCAAAAAACUUUAUAACCCCAUAAAAAAUACCCUAACGAUAACAACAACCAUACACUGUCUGUCAGCAUAAUGCUGAGAGGCAGAAUACACUGCACUACAAUAGUGGUGCAGUGUUUCAUAGAAACUAUCAGAUCAGGAAUGACAGGUCAUUCUAUUAUGGGAAAAACAAAAAUAGAAAGGCAGAAAUGCUAUGAAAAACAUAAAUAAAUAAGAAGUAGAUAAAUAAAUAAAACUGAUUUGGACUAGUUUAAAAAGUACAAAAAAUUAGGAAACGGUCGAUAAAAUAAUAAAAAAUUAUCGGAAUAGUUAGAGAGUUAAAGGGGUACUUCACAGCUCAGCUUUUGGAACAAACUGUUCCGAACGCUGGAGCCGGCGUGAGGAGCUGUUGACAUCAUAGCUCCGCCCCUCAUGACAUCACGCCCUGCCCCCUCAAUGCAAGUCUGUGGGAGGGGGUGUGACGGCUCUACCCAUUUAAAAAUAAAAAUAAAUGCUUGAUAAAAUUAUUUAAAAAAUAAUUUGUUGUAUCAAAAAUAAAAUUCAGAAAAAAGAAAAGAAAAUAUUUAAAAACUCCCAAAAAUGUUAUAAAUAAACCCCCAAAAAAUCUACAAUAGCUACAAACUUAGCAUAAAAAUAUUAAAAAAUAUAAAAAAAUACAUAAAAAUGGCCAAAAAAUUUUGGAACCCCAUAGAAAAUACCCUAAUGAUAACCAUAACCAUACACUGUCUGUCAGCAUAAUGCUGAUAGGCAUAAUACACUGCACUACAAUAGUGGUUCAGUGUUUCAAAGAAAGGAUCAGAUCAGGAGUGAAAGGUCGUUCUCGUAUGGGAAAAAUAAAAAUAGAAACCCAGAAAUGUUAUGAAAAAAAUAACAAUAAAUAAGAAGUAAAUAAAUAAAUAAAACUGAUUAGGACUAGUUUAAAAAGUAUAAAAAAUUUAGAAACGGUCGAUAAAAUAAUUUCAAAAAUAGCGGAAUAGUUACAGAGUUGAAGGGGUACUCCACAGCUCAGAGUUUGGAACAAACUGUUCCGAAAACUGGAAACGGCGUCAGGAACUCUUGACGUCAUGGCCCCGCCUCCUCAUGACGUUACACCCUGCCCCCUCAAAUGAAGUCUAUGGGAGGGGGUGUAUCCCUUUAAAAAUAAAAAAUUAAUGGUUGAUAAAAUUCUUUUUAAAAAAAAACAUCAACCCGCCCCACAAAAACAUCCCUUAAAAAAUAAGUUUUUCGGAAAAAAAAACUACAAUUCAGAAUAAAGAAAAGAACAUUUAAAAAAGAGCACCAAAAUUUUAUAAAUAAACCCCAAAAAAAUCUACAAUAGAUACACACAUAGCAUUAAUGUGAGAGGCAUAAAUUAUUUUAUAAAAUAAUACAACCCCUCCCCCCUUUCAAAAUUAAAAGGCAUACAUUCCCGUUGUAUGAUUAACUGUUGAAUAUAAUAUAACAUUUUUCGAUAAAAUAUUUAUUAAAACAAAAUAUCAAAAAUAUACAGUAUAUUUUAAUUAAAAAAACACCUAGAUCCCAAUGUGUUCCAAUUUUUUUUGUUCCUUUUUGUUAUGCGGUUUCAUAAUGCCUGAGAUAAGUAGUUCUGGCCCGAGAAUGUUAUAUAUAUUAGCGUCUGUAGCAUGUAUCAGGAACAUGUUAUCAUACCUGUGUCUUUUUACAGGUGACUGAUGCCCGGUGAGAAGGUGUACGUGACAUAUGCCCUCGUCAGCUGCAAGAAAGGAACUUGGAGACAGGUGACUGAUGCCCGGUGAGAAGGUGUACGUAAAAUAUGCCCUCGUCAGCUGCAAGAAAGGAACUUGGAGACAGGUGACUGAUGCCCGGUGAGAAGGUGAACGUGACAUAUGCCCUCGUCAGCUGCAAGAAAGGAACUUGGAGACAGGUGACUGAUGCCCGGUGAGAAGGUGAACGUGACAUAUGCCCUCGUCAGCUGCAAGAAAGGAACUUGGAGACAGGUAAUUAAU